UACGUAGGGACCGAGCGUUGUCCGGAAUCAUUGGGCGUAAAGAGCGUGUAGGCGGCCACUUAAGUCCUGCGUGAAAUCUUGCGGCUCAACCGCAAGCGGUCGUGGGAAACUGGGUGGCUAGAGUGCGGGAGAGGAGAGUGGAAUUCCUGGUGUAGCGGUGGAAUGCGCAGAUAUCAGGAAGAACACCCAUGGCGAAGGCGGCUCUCUGGAACGCAACUGACGCUGAGACGCGAAAGCGUGGGGAGCGAACAGG
rnacentral:rRNA from 1 species